UUUCAGGUCUCACAGAAGGACAAUCCCUGCACAUCCCAAGAAGGAAAACCCGCAGUAGUUCUGGAAAUAAGCAGGAGCUUCUAGGAGAGUAUACUGUGUUAGGAAAGUCCUUAGAAAGUAAACAGUCUUUGAAAACGUAGUUUUCUUCCCACAGGAAAUCAGAGGAGCAGAUAUGACCUUGAAUAAGUCCUCUUUUAGGAAAGGAAACUUGACUGUACAUAGAGUGAGAGCAAAUUAAUACUCAAGGUAAAGAGGGAUUGCCAUGCGGACCGUUGCUAUGGAUGUUGCCGGGGAAGAAUUGUUGGUGAAGAGGAAACUGUUAGCAAUGGCCUGGAGACGGAAGCUGGACGUUGAUUACUGAAAUGAGGAGAAGGAAGCUGUGGUUGCUAGGGUAGAUCUGUCUAGCAACGGAUCGAGCAAAAGUUUGAAGAUGCCGGUUCAAGUGAGGUGCUGGAGCAGGCCAGGAAACUGAUGA